rnacentral:tRNA from 1 species
GGCUCUGUAGCUCAGUGAUAGAGCGCCGCUCUCAUGAGGCGGAGGUCGAGAGUUUAAUCCUCUCCAGAGCCA